ACGGGGUGCAGCAGGCGAGAAAACUUUGCAAUGUGCGAAAGCACGACAAGGUUAAUCCGAGUGAUUUCUGCUAAAGGAAUCUUUUGUUAGUCGUAGAACCACUAGUGAAUAAGGGGUGGGCAAGUUCUGGUGUCAGCCGCCGCGGUAAAACCAGCACCUCAAGUGGUCAGGAGGAUUAUUGGGCCUAAAGCAUCCGUAGCCGGCUAGGUAAGUUUUCUGUUAAAUCCAUGCGCUUAACGUAUGGGCUGCAGGGAAUACUGCCUAGCUAGGGAGUGGGAGAGGUAGACGGUACUCCGUAGGAAGGGGUAAAAUCCUUUGAUCUAUGGAUGACCACCUGUGGCGAAGGCGGUCUACUAGAACACGUCCGACGGUGAGGGAUGAAAGCUGGGGGGAGCAAACCGGAUUAGAUACCCGGGUAGUCCCAGCUGUAAACUAUGCAAACUCAGUGAUGCAUUGGCUUGUGGCCAGUGCAGUGCUGCAGGGAAGCCGUUAAGUUUGCCGCCUGGGAAGUACGUACGCAAGUAUGAAACUUAAAGGAAUUGCG
rnacentral:rRNA from 1 species